rnacentral:SRP_RNA from 1 species
UUUCUAAAAUAGGAUCUGUUCUCGGAGCCGCCCCAGAAGCGCGAUGUUGACAUCUGGGUCUCGCGCAAUGAAUCCCCAUGAACCGUGUCAGGUCAGGAAUGAAGCAGCACUAAAUGGGACCUUUCAUGUGCCGUGAGGUCGCCUGGAUUGAGUAAGCGGACUGGGUAACGUCCGAGGGCAGUUCCAAUUUUAGAA